rnacentral:misc_RNA from 1 species
GAUGAAGAACGUAGCGAAACGCGAUACGUAAUGUGAAUUGCAGAAUUCAGUGAAUCAUCGAAUCUUUGAACGCACAUUGCGCCCCUUGGUAUUCCAUGGGGCAUGCCUGUUCGAGCGUCAUUUGUACCUUCAAGCUUUGCUUGGUGUUGGGUGUUUGUCUCGCCUCCGCGUGUAGACUCGCCUCAAAACAAUUGGCAGCCGGCGUAUUGAUUUCGGAGCGCAGUACAUCUCGCGCUUUGCACUCACAACGACGACGUCCAAAAGUACAUUUUUACACUCUUGACCUCGGAUCAGGUAGGGAUACCCGCUGAACUUAAGCAUAUCAAUAAGCGGAGGA